rnacentral:tRNA from 1 species
GCGGAUGUAGUUCAGUGGUAGAAUGUCUCGUUGCCAACGAGAAGGUCGCCGGUUCGAGUCCGGUCAUCCGCU